rnacentral:lncRNA from 1 species
CUUCGGAAUGAUGGCCUUAGCAAACAGACCACUGGAAUUGAGUGAUUUAUUCAAAUCAUCGCUAACUAAGGCAGUGGUUGACCAGAUCUGCGUACACUGUGGGGAAGACAGGCAAUCUGAUGAGAAAACCAGCCCAGAGCUGGCAUUAUUGGCCAAGGUCGCACAGCCAGCGAGCCUGGUAGGGCAGGUGCCUCUUACCAUCUUCCUUUCCUGCCUCCAGACUCCCUUCUUUGAGGACCCCAAACCAGUGCUUCUGUGAGCUGCAGACUCAGUGAGCACAAUUAAAGAUGUGUG